CAGCGUUUUAUUUUUAAUUUCUAGGUACUCAUAAGCUUUUCGUUUGACUAUUUCUCUCAGAAGAUAGGUAGUUGUCCUUCAGAAGAUGCGUAGUCGUUUCUGUAUCUUUCGAUUGAAAUCGCUCAAUCCAGUCUCCGUCAGUUCUAUCACCCAGUUACAGUUAUCUUCCUAUUUGAAGGCAGAAAUAGAGUUGCAAGUAUUCUUUGAAUAAAUACAUGUAACAGGAGAUAGGUAUAUGGAGAAUAUUUAUGAGUAUUUGCUGCACUAUUAUGCACCAUACUAUUUAAUUAACAGCGCCACUGAUGAAAGCUGAAGUAGAUGGACAUGAAACCUUAUUUGUAAUGUGAUGUUCAUUAAAAUGCUGCUGAUUGGUGAAUAAAUUUUAAAACAAUAUGAAAA